rnacentral:tRNA from 1 species
GAGAGGUGGCCGAGCGGCUUAAGGCGCUGGUCUCGAAAACCAGUAUACUCUUAUGGGGUAUCGUGGGUUCAAAUCCCACCCUCUCC